rnacentral:rRNA from 1 species
GACGGAGGAUGCAAGUGUUAUCCGGAAUCACUGGGCGUAAAGCGUCUGUAGGUGGUCAAAUAAGUCAACUGUUAAAUCUUGAGGCUCAACCUCAAAAUCGCAGUCGAAACUAUUAGACUAGAGUAUAGUAGGGGUAAUGGGAAUUUCCAGUGGAGCGGUGAAAUGCGUAGAGAUUGGAAAGAACACCGAUGGCGAAGGCACUUUACUGGGCUAUUACUAACACUCAGAGACGAAAGCUAGGGUAGCAAAUGGG